UGAUUAUGACGUACUUGUACUGAUUGAGAUUUUAACACGAAGUGAGUGGCGAACGGGUGAGUAACACGUGGGUAACCUGCCCAGAAGUAGGGGAUAACACCUGGAAACAGAUGCUAAUACCGUAUAACAGAGAAAACCGCAUGGUUUUCUUUUAAAAGAUGGCUCUGCUAUCACUUCUGGAUGGACCCGCGGCGUAUUAGCUAGUUGGUGAGGUAAAGGCUCACCAAGGCAGUGAUACGUAGCCGACCUGAGAGGGUAAUCGGCCACAUUGGGACUGAGACACGGCCCAGACUCCUACGGGAGGCAGCAGUAGGGAAUCUUCCACAAUGGACGCAAGUCUGAUGGAGCAACGCCGCGUGAGUGAAGAAGGGUUUCGGCUCGUAAAGCUCUGUUGUUAAAGAAGAACGUGGGUAAGAGUAACUGUUUACCCAGUGACGGUAUUUAACCAGAAAGCCACGGCUAACUACGUGCCAGCAGCCGCGGUAAUACGUAGGUGGCAAGCGUUAUCCGGAUUUAUUGGGCGUAAAGCGAGCGCAGGCGGUCUUUUAAGUCUAAUGUGAAAGCCUUCGGCUCAACCGAAGAAGUGCAUUGGAAACUGGGAGACUUGAGUGCAGAAGAGGACAGUGGAACUCCAUGUGUAGCGGUGAAAUGCGUAGAUAUAUGGAAGAACACCAGUGGCGAAGGCGGCUGUCUGGUCUGCAACUGACGCUGAGGCUCGAAAGCAUGGGUAGCGAACAGGAUUAGAUACCCUGGUAGUCCAUGCCGUAAACGAUGAUUACUAAGUGUUGGAGGGUUUCCGCCCUUCAGUGCUGCAGCUAACGCAUUAAGUAAUCCGCCUGGGGGAGUACGACCGCAGAGGUUGAAACUCAAAAGAAUUGACGGGGGCCCGCACAAGCGGGG
rnacentral:rRNA from 1 species